AUGGAUUUCCGUGCGACAUGAUGCACUUGUUUGCGCCGCGACAGUCGCAAGAGCGUGCGAAAAGGCGCAACAUAGGAACCAAUCACUGUAACAAAUACACAGCGACCAAUCACACACGCGGAUCUUGCAAAGGGUGAGGAAAGCACAGUCCAGCCUGCGCGCCCAAGAGCAGUGAGGAGCAGCAGAAAGAAGAACAGAUCACUAAGGUGGCAAGUAGAAGAGUGAACAUUGCCGGCCUAGUUUUCCAAAAAUACAACACCAAACAAGAAAACCAAAGCUGUCAUGUCAAACUCGGAUCACGAAGCAGAAAGCUCCACCAAAAGUUUAGAAAAGCAACCCAGGAAAAGAGCACCACCUUUUACACGUGCCGAGCUGAUCUUCAUAGUGGACUACAUGGAGAAAUGAGAGUAUGGUGUUGGAGAGCGAGGAACCAUAAACAGUAACAAAGGCAGCAUUUUGCAGGACUUAAGACAGGAAUUAGAGGAAAAGUUUGGAGUUGACCGCUUGGAAAGGCAGAUCCAAAAAAGGUAUUCAGACUUGAGGACAAGAGAAAAGGAUACGUACGAUGGUAUACUACGAAAAAUUGCAAAGGGAAAAGCCAAAGAACAAAUUGCACCCAACACUUCAUCUGCACCAAUGAUGACGGCCGCCGAAAAUGUACCCCUUGGGAACACCGGAAACGAGAUGCAAAUUUCCGGUGGGGAUGAGUUUAUUACAUUAACCUUGGAAACUAUACCAACAGACCCAAUAACAGAAACCAGCCAACCAGCGAAUUUUGGUCUUAACUUUGAAGAAAAACUUCUGGCUAUGGAAGGACGUCUGAAAGAACAUUUGCAGCAAAAUCUGGCUAUUAUUAGUCAAAAAAUGGAUGAUAUGUGCAGCAAUUUAGAACAACGCAUUAUGCAGCUGGAGCAAGCUGUGGUGGAUUUAACUAAGAAAUCCAUCCUGAUUGAUAAUUAGAGUACUCCAAAUAACCUCCUGCAAGGGCUAACCUCUGGAGGUUAAAUAUAUGAUAGUAUACUUUUGAUACAAUAUACACCCAAGGAAAAGAUUCUGAGAAAAUAAUGCAAAAGGUAUAUUUUUAUUACACAAUUACAAGAUUUAUAAUACACAUAACAAGGCAGUAUGUCACAGAUGACAAACCCAAAAAGAUACAUGACACAAGGUAGACAGUGAUAUGUAGUACUAGAGUAGAUACAGGUUAAUGCACAUGUACACAAGCAAUGACUAAAGUGCUUCCGGAUAACAUAUUAGUCAAUAAAGUGCAAUAAUCCCAUAAAGUCCUGUGAAAAGUAAGUAGAAUAAAUCGUACCACGGGCAUGACACCCCUACCUAUGUUUAGCUCCGUCGAGCUUCCUUGGAUUUUUAGACCAAGAAUAGAUGGUGUUUUGGGUUACACUUUAUGGAGCCAUCUAAAAGGAAUCCACAAAAGAUUGAGAAUUGCCAGGACUGUGAAUAAGUUAUGCAGUGGAGCCUUGCAACCAAUCAACUAUUCUUUUUUAUUUUAAACAUGUUUAAGCAAAAAAUGAAAAGGAAAUAGCUGAUUGGUUGCCAAGGGAAACUAGGGACAAGGUACACUGUCAAAGGUAACUGACAAAGACCUCGACGCUUAAACGAGUUUUGCCUAAGCAAAUGUUUUUUGGACUGCAGAGGCCAGGCUGUAAAUCUGCACAAAAUAAAC